rnacentral:lncRNA from 1 species
CCUCCACGGACAAGCUCCUUUCGAGCGUCUCCAUCGCGGCCUCGCGCUUGCGCCGAUCGGCGAUAAGCUUGAUGCGUUCCUCUUCCUUUUCGGCUCGUUCGAUGAGCGCGUUGAUGCGCUUCUGCUCAAUGUCCUUCGCUGCCUGGUUGCGGGACAAGACGUACUGGGACCGCUCGGACAACUUCGACCUCAUGUCCUGAAUCUUGGCAGCCUUCUUCGACGUGAGGUCUUUCCAGCGCAUGUCGGCGGCGGUAGUUUUCUUCAUGGUCUUGGUGCGGAAUUGCUCUGUGGUUUGCUCGCUGCGCACUAUGGCCUGCUCACGCUUCUGCGCCUGGAACAAGUGAAUCGCUUGAUUCUUAGCUGCAAUCUCCUGUUCCUCUUUCCUCCUCGCUGCGAGUCUCGCCGCCUCCUUCUCCUCCAUGAGCCGCGCCUUGUGCGCUAUCUUCCUGUUCUUCUCGGCACGCAUCGCGUCGACGCGAGCCUGGAACUCGGCGUUCCUUUGCCUGCGUAACUCCUCCUUCUCCUUCUUCUCCUGACGAGCUCUGCGCUCCUCAGCCUCGCGUAGCCGCUUUAACUCCAACUCCCUCUCGUGUUUCUCCGCUGCCCUGCGCUGCUUCUCUUUCUCGAGCUUCUCUUGGUUCAGCUUGAGCUGCUGGAGCUUGAUGAAGGUCUCAUUCGCCUUCUUCUGGUCCUCGAGAGCCUUCUCGUGCGCUCGCUGUCGUUCCAGCUCCUUCGCUCGGCGAACCUUCUCCUCCGCCGCAGCCUGCCGCUCGAGCUUCUUCAGCGCGUUCUGCUCCAUCACCUCCACUUGUUUCUGGGCUUUUCGCCUGGCGGCCAGCAUGCGAUUCUGUUCCUCUUCGAAAGCGGUGCUCUUGAGAACUCCACCGCUGGCUCCCGGACCGGGGCUGUACAUGACGGGUUCGCCAUCCUCGGACACGAAGCUGCCUCCUAGCGUCUUACCGACCGGGCUCGUGGGACUGCCGAGACGCCCCGGGCUCGUGGGACUGCCGAGACGCCCCGGGCUCGUCAUGCGCGGGCUUAAAGGCCUGACCCUGCUCGUCCAGCCGGGCGAACUCGUGGCGCCUUCGACGCCGGGCACCCGCGUCGCCUCCUCAAGUGGCACGACGGGGAGCCUGUCGCGAGCCCUGCUGAGAACUUCGAUGCGCUCCCUGCGGAUGGACUCGUAGUGUUCCCACUUGAGCCGCUGAUGUUCGCGGCUCAGUCCGGGCUUUGCGAAGUCGGCGAGAGCCUUGGGGACCAGCAUCUCCGGCUCGACGCCAUGGUCCAGGCAGACCUUGAUGGAUCGGGGCGAUGUCAGGACCACGGGUGUAUCGUCGUCCGAGUGGCGCGAGGCGAGAUCAUCGAUGGAAAUCCUCACACUGACCGGCGAUCCUAUCAUGCUGACUGAUUUGCCAACCCAAGACUGCGAGCGAAGGGAUUAUGGAUGUCAGGGCGUGUCUCGGGCGCCUCGCGGCGGGGAGUGCUAUCGGGGGCGAUUCGGCGGCAAUUGAUGAAUUCAACUCUCUCAACACUCACCAGCGAAGACCGCGCCUCACCGGCAGAUUCCAAAGGGUCCCUCACGGGAUGUUUCAUCGGACUCGGCGUGGGCGGGAGUUGUCCCGACAUGUUGGCCACCGUUGGGCUCGUCUCCUGUGUCAGGCCGGCGCUCACUGGAGUGAGUGCGUUGCCAAAUCUGGGCGGGAUUUUGGUGAUGACUGUUGGCCGAGUUGGCAAAGAUUUCGCGGCGAGUUCGCAAAAAAGAACCCGUCCAAAAUCUCACAGCAGGGGGACGCCCAGGAUGGGCCCUCAGGGCAAGCGAUGGCCGAAGUGGAAGCAGCGGCGCGACAACUCGGGCGAUGAUGUCACCGAAGAGAACCGUCAGAAAAAGCUCCACCACGGCAUCAAGUGCAUCCGAAAGGCGCUGAAGAAGGCACGCACCUUCGAGGAGCAAAAGAUCAAGCGGCGAACCGCGCAGGCGACGGCGGCGGCGAAAAGCGGCGGGAAGAAGCCCACAAUCGUCGCGAGCGCCGCGUUGCUCGAUGCGGAUAAGCUCGCGCAGCAGCUCGUGGCUGUCAAGGCACUCGAUCUCGAGGCACUCGGAUCCUACAUGGGGCGCGCCACGUACGACGCCGUCCUCGCGUCCCGAGAUGCGCCCACCGCCGAAAAAGCUCUACCAACCGCCGACGAGACGGAGACGGCGACGGCGGAGACGGCCGUCGGGCCUGGUGCUAUCGAAGCGGCGGGCGUGCAGCAGGCUCUCGUCGUCGCCCGUCGUAUUCUCGCCGCCGCCUGCGUGCGGACGGAGGUGAACGCCCUGCAGGAGAAGCUUGUGCUGGUGGGAGACAGGCAGGAGUGGGCAAAGGGCAGACUCGAGCGGGAGGAGCUCAGGCGGCUCGCAAAGGAGGAGGCAACGGCGGCGAAGGAGAAAGCGAAGGAAGAGGCGGAGAAGGCGAAACAAGAGGAGAAGGAUCGCACGAAGCACAGAGGUCCCGGGGCUGUCGACGAUGGGAAAGUGGGUAGCGAAGGCGGCGACGACAGCGAAAGGGAGAGCGGGGAUGAGGAAGACGACUGGAGCAGCGGCGGGGAGGACGACGGUCGCCCGGACCUCAGCGACAGUGAUGACGAGGACUCCGACUCGGAUGAUAUCGUCAUCAAGGACGAUGACGGUGAGCUCGAGCGGUUUCUUGCGGAGGAGGCUGCGAACGAGGGAGGCGAUGUUGGAAGCAGCGACGACGAAGAAGAGGAAGAAAGCGAGAGCGACCCGGACGAGGAGCUGCCUCCCGAGCUCGCCAAGAUCCUCGGCGUUGAGCAGAAACGGAAAAAGGGUGGAAACGUGAAGGAUGAAAAGAAAGGAGCGAAGAAGAAGGCGGAACCCCCCGCCAAGAAGAAACCGAAGAAGCGCAUGGGUCAGCGCGCACGACGUGCCAUCGCCGAGGCAAAAUUCGGACAGAAUGCAAACCACAUCAAGGCUGAGCGCGAAGAACAGAUGCGGCGAGAGAGGCAGGCGCGCGAGCAAGAGGAGAUGGCCAAGAUGCAUCCGGCGUGGGCGGCGAAGCGCGCAGCUGCGGCGGCAUUGGCUGCGGCGCCAAAGGGAACGAAGGUUUCCUUUGGUGACGACGGCGACGCGGUUGGUGUUCAAAAGCUCAAGAGAACGUCGGAGGGCGCUCAAGUCAGGAACGAAAGGGAUGGUAAGAAGUCGACGACUCCGAAGCCGAAGGCUCCAAAACCUCCCAAGGUGCAUAUCGAGAUCAAGGGCGGCACUGGUGAGGUGGUGGGCAAGGUGACCAAGCCGAUGGGACCUUCAGGCGCGAAGAAGGAUGAUGAUAAAUCCGCCAAGAAGAAGCCGAGUGGCGGAUACGACGGAUACAAUCCGGACGCGGCUGAGUCUCAUCCCGCGUGGGCGGCGAAGCGCAAGGCCGCCGAGCAGGCCACCGCCAAGCCCGCGGGCAAGAAGAUCAAGUUUGACGAUUAGAUCACAACAUAAUAUUACUUGGUAUUACUAGCGCACCGGAUCUCACCUGCUCGACGGGGCACCCUCCCUGUCCGCUGCAUGCGCUGGGCCCGGAUCCACCAUACAUCCAUCAUCUGAGCACUGGGCAAUACCGUACUCCAUGCCGUCGACGAGAGCCCUGAAGGAAGCCUCGAUGAUGGAGGCGUGCGCGCCGACGGUUCGCCAGGUGAUGUCCGUGUCCCUGUCCGCAAAGUCCAUCGUGACUCGGGUCACUGCCGCGGAUGUGCCAGCCGUGCUCAACAGGUCCACUUUGUAGUCCUGGAGGUGGAUCUGCUUCAGCUGCGGGAACUUAUCGGUGAGCGAUAGACGCAGAGCAUUGGCGAGUGCAUUUACCGGACCAUUACCCUCGGCCACGCACAGUUGGGUGUUCCUGGAGGCGGGCGUGGUAUCGUUGUCGAACACGUCCACCUUAACAACAACCUGGUUCACCGCGACCGACCCUUUCUUAUACCCCGCCUGCUGCGGGUGCGUGAAGGGCGCCUCAAGCUCGUCCUCGGGGAGCACGUCCUGGAGCCUCUCGUCGCCUCCCACGAGAAGGUCGUUCGGAGUGAACCCUCCGAAACUGCUGUUGGACGCGGUGACGUUGAACUCCAAUACAUUGAAGGGUGCCCGGUAGUUAGGGUCGGCGCGGCGGAAGAGGAUAUCAACCGAUGCCCCGGCAUCCUCGAGGACGAACCCGCGAGACUCGAGAUCCUUGAUCUGCGACAGCACCUGCGCCGCGGUUUCUUUGCUAACCUCCCGGCCCGACGCCAUCGCGGCCGACAGGAUGUUGCCGCGGCCGCUCAGCUCCGAGAUGACGCUUCGCGCCUCAUUGCCAACCAGCGUUGGGACGAUGUGAUUGUAGCUCGCCGGCAUCUUCUGUAAAGCGGCGACGUGCAGGCCACCCUUAUGCGCAAAUGCACUUGACCCCAUGUACGGCUGACGGGGAUCCUGAUGCUGGCUGCACAGCUUGGCAACCGCCGCGGACACCUGGGUGAGCCGCUGCAAAGAACCCUCGGGCAGCGCUGUCCUUCCCAUCUUGAGCUCGAGGUUGGCGGCGACGACGAGCAGGUCGGCGUUACCCGUCCGCUCGCCGUACCCGUUCACGCACCCCUGCACCAUCGUCGCACCGCCCCUGACCGCCGCGAUGGAGUUGGCCACGGCGAGCGAAGUGUCGUUGUGGCAGUGAAUCCCCACCGAACAAUCGGCACCCGUCGCGUCCACCGCCUCCUUCACCUCCCGCGUGAACUCCUCGACGUCCCAAGGCAACGUGCCUCCGUUCGUGUCGCACAGCACGACAAAUUUCGCGCCCGAUUUGGCCGCCGCGGCCGCACAUUUCACCGCAAACUCCGGGUUCGCCUUACGACCGUCGAAGUAGUGUUCGCAGUCCACCAGGACCUCCUUCCCAGCGGCUACGAGGUGAGCGACGGAUUCCUCAAUCAUCGCGAUGUUCUCCUCAGGGGAGACGCCGAGAACCUUCUCGCACUGCUCGUCCCACGCCUUAGCCACGAUGCACACGCACGGGGCGGGGCAGUCGGUGAGAGCCUUGAGACCCUCGUCAUCGUCUGCGGUGACCCCUCGCCGGCGGGUCAUGCCGAACGCGGCGAGCUUGGUGCCUCCCGCAGCCGCGCGGUCAGCAAGCCCCGAUGAGGUCCACCUGGAGAAGAACUCGACAUCCUUGGGGUUGCUGCCGGGGUAACCUCCCUCGAUGUACGCCACCCCGAGGCCCACGAGGUGCUCGGCCACGGCGAGCUUGUCGUCGCAGGUCAAGGAUAUGCCGACCUGGCGAGGGAACGGGGAAGUCGCGGUCAGACGGGAAGGCGGGGCGAACGGAUGGUUUUUUUUUUUAAGUUCGUUAGGCAUGAGGGGUUUUCCGGUUAAACGGGCGGCGAUCCAGAGAGUCUCGCCGCUUUGGGAGGUAUCUGACUAACCUGCUGGGAACCGUCGCGAAGUGUGGUAUCGUAGCACACCACGUCGGCAUCGUCGCCCGCCGAACCAGGGGAGUCAGCAGCCCUCGGAACGACCGCUCGGACGCUGCCGGGAACCCGAAAAAGCGAGGGUAUCUCUUUGGAUUUCCGAGCUCGUCCGCCCGCUCGCCGACGGUUGAGGUUCGCGACCGAGCGCGACGCGAGGGGCGCGCCGGAGAGAAGCGACAAAGACAUGGCCGUCUAUAGACAAGGGGACGCCUGUGGAUUCCCCAAGCCAGCUGGGAGACGGUGGAUUGCCCUCCGGAUUACUGAUGACAAAUUUGCGGGGCCCUCCCAAAUGUCCCCAAAUUAUCAGCGGAGUUUGACGGUUCACGAACCCAGUCUCCUCCCCAGCAGUUCACGAACCGGCGUGAUCCUCCGCAACAGGCCUGGGCAGAGCCACGUCGCGGGUGCCGAACUUUCCGCGAAACUUUCGACGUCACCCGAUCUUGCGGACACACCAAGAGGCGCGGACCCGAGGCUACAUCUCGUAUCGCAAUGUCUCUUCCCAAGCUUGAAUUUGCCAAGACUGGCCGAUCCACCUGCCGAGAGUGCGGCGAGGGCAUCGCACAGGGCGUCAUGAGGGUGGGCAUCGAAGCCUUUGUCGCAGGACGUGUAUGGUGCGUGCGCUCAUCUCAACCUCUCCCUUAUCGCACGUGAAACGACCCCUCUCGUCCCCAUCUGACCCGUAAAUCGCCCCUCUGCCCGCAGCGAUUGCUGGAGUCACGUCAAAUGCAGCCUGGGCGCCAUGUUCCUGGAGAAGUGCACGGCAGCCAGGGGCAAGUGCAAGGCGACGGACGAGCCAUUCAAAAAGGGCGACGUCAGGCUCGCAGUUUGCAGCAAGGCGCACAAGGCUUACUACUCCAUGGCGGGUAUGGGCGACGCCGUGCGACCCAUCGUGGAGGCUUCCGAGGGCGAAUACACAGCCUCAGACAUCACCGGUUUCCUGGCCCUCUCCAAGGAUGAGCGCGCGGCCGUCUGUGCCGCUGUAGACGUCAAGGCCACGGCCAGCGCCAAAAAGCGCUCUCGCCGCGGCAGCGACGUCACCGUCGCCGAGGUCACCGUGGCGGCCGUGAAGGACGAGAAGAAGGCUGCGGCGGACACUCCCGCGUCUGCGAACAGAAGGCCCGGCAGGAGGUCCUCCGCCGUGUCCGCUCCCCCCGCGCCGGCGACGCCCGCCGAGGACGAGGAGGGCGAGGAGGCUGGCGACUCCGACGGUCUCACCGAAUUCGAGCGCCAGCGCGAGGAACUCAUCGCGCGGAACAAGGCGAGGAUGGCAGCUCUGAACAUUGGCACACUCGCGUCCGAAGUCGCGACCGCGUCGGCUAAGCCCGCGAACGGACCCUCCCAGCGUGGCAUCGGAUCCAAGCGCAAGAAGGAGCCCAAGGAGGAUGCCGGGCCGCCGCGCCGAUCCCUCCGCGGCCAGAAGAUCGCCCCCGACGCAACGCUCGCGGGUGGAGUCGACUACGAGCGCAGGGAUGGGACGGUGAUCCUCGCCAACGGCAUGUACAGCGGUUCGGGCACUCGCUCAGACUCGCCUCCGCCGCCUUCCAGGCCCACGGGUGACGUCAAGCUCAAUAGCGUCAACGGAGAGGAGAGUGCGGAUGAGGCGUUCAUCUCGUUCCUGCGCGACACCCUGUCCGGCGUCACCGCCGCCUCGUCUGACUUUGGCGAUGGCGUGACGAUCAAGCACGACCGUGGUUCGUUCACCUCCGCGAAGUCCCUCGUCGGCGCGAAGAUCAAGCUGACGGACGAGGCUGUCGCCAAGGUUGUGCCCCGCGGCGUGACCCACCUCGAUCUCGCGCCUUACGACCCUGACGGCCCCCUCGUGGCCGCCGCGGGUGAUAAGGACGGCAACGUGGGUCUCUGGAGGGUCGACUACGAAGCCCCUGGCGGUGCCGACGACGAGGGCGAUGGGAGCGACGACGGCGUGCUCUUCUACAAGCCCCACGGCUCGUACAUCUGCCACCUCAAGUGGGGCCGCGGCGGUCUCGCGGGUCGUCUGCUCACGUGUGCGUACGACGGCGCCGUUAGGACCCUGGACGCCGAGAAGGGCGUUUUCACGGAGUUGUUCGUUUCCGAGGACGAGGACGAGUUCAGCGCGUGCGAUGUGACGGCGGACGGUAGGACCAUUCACCUCUCAGAUAACGUUGGAAACUACCACGUUGUCGACGCCAGGUCCGGGAAGUUAACGUCACCGGCGGUGCAGCUCCACGAGAAGAAGAUCAACACCGUGCACCUCGAACCCGGCGCUGAGCGCGUGGUGGCCACCUCGUGUGGCGAUCAGACCGUGUGCGUUUGGGACGUUCGCAAGUGCGGCAAGGGCGCCAAGCCGCUGAGUCGGCUUCAGCACUCCAAGUCGUGCCAGGCGGCGUACUUCGCGCCAAACGGAUCGGGUGAGCUGCUGACCACCUGCUACGACGAUCUCAUCCGCGUGUGGCGCCCCAAGUCCGGUGCUGACGCCGGUUCGGUGAACGACGACCCCAAAUCGUGCCUCAAGAUCAAGCACAACAACCAGACUGGCAGGUGGGUCCUUCCCUUCCGCGCGGUGUGGACCCCGGCUGGCGAUGGCGUCGUCAUCGGAUCCAUGCGAAGGGAGAUUGAGGUGUUCGAGUCGUCGAGCGGGAAGCUCGCGGGCAAGUACUCCGAUGCCGAGCGCAUGACGGCCAUCGCAUCCAGAUACGCUGUGCACCCUUCGAAGGACAUCAUCGCGGCUGGUACGGCCAGCGGAAGGCUGCACAUUUACCGUAAAUAAACGAUUCUUUGAAUGUACAUUAGAUUUACAUUGCGCGUCUAUCAUAAGACUCUACGCCGUGUGAAAGAUCGUCCCUCCUCCCGCUCGUCCGUGUCCCUUCGGACCGAAGUUCUUCGCGUAGCACACCUUGCAGUACGGCUCCCCCUUGUGGUCGGUGAUCUCCGCGACCGAGCCAAGAGUCUUUUCGCAACCUUCGCACCGAAGACACCCUUUGUGCCACUCGGUGCCGUUCAGACCGACGACCCUCUCUGCGAAGUACACCGUCUUGCUGCACUUCGGGCACUUGGGCUGGUUCGCGCCGAACGCCUUCGGGUUGAACUUUGCGGGCUUGGCGGCGACGGGCUCGGGCUCGGGUUCCGGCUCUUCUGGUUCGUGCCUCUCGAUUCCCACCUCCAACGCCUCCGUCGCGCGGGCCCUCGCCGCCUCCUCCGCCAUGUUUGGUCCGAGGGGGAACGCCAUCUUGGGUCUGAGAGGAGACGCGGGGGGAGAAGCCAGAGGUGACGUCAGCGGCGAUGUCAUCGCUGGUGACUUUGGGGGUGCCUCUUGCUUUUCCUCCUUCUUCGGUGGUUUCGGUGGUGUGGCGGAGGUGCCCGAGGAGAUGUUCUCGAACUUCGCCGCCAGGAUCUUGGUGCUGGGUGACUUAGUGGUGGACUUCGGCGGUGGGGUGGCAUCCGUGGAGUUCUCGCGCGCCAUCUGUUCGAAUUUCUGCGCGAGUUCCUUCGCUGAGGGAGUGCUCAUGUUGGCGGUGCCGUCUGCGUUUCGUCAACGUUAGCGUCGUUUGGAUCUCUCGGCCGUCGCAGUAUCCCAGACUCCGAAGGAUGCGCGCUAUGACCUCAACGCGCGGAGUUUGUGAUACCCGUAGAUGCGCCAGCGGGAUGACGACCGCUGUGGAAGAGACGCGCCGCUUGAGACUGGAGGUCGAGCGUUGAGGCACCUCGAAAAAGCCAACGUUCGAAAACGCUGCUGUGCUUUUGCGUGAUGACGAGGACGACUUGAGGAGGACAGCAGUCUACAUUUCCUUCCGCAGGGGUGCUGGACGCCAAUGGACUCAAAGGAGAUCACAUACGGCUGACCGCCUCCCGAAGAUGUGUCAGACGCAGCGACGGAUGGUGACGCCCGAUGUAUAUAGGCGAAGGGUGCCGAACCGAAGUCCCUGAGUCUCGGAAGAGCGGCGGCACUUUCGGUAGGUUUUGCUCAUUCAGUGCUGCCGAACUCGAUGAUUUUGCCCGCCGACACACUGCCGAUGAUGCACACCAGUAUCGCUAACUCACGCUUGACUGGUGGUAAUAGUCAGCCUGGGCGGAUGAUGAUAAUAAUGCUCGUUGCAACAACCGUUGAACGCAUGAGGCACUCGAGUCGUGUGGUGAACACCCGGAACCAAGUUGAUAUCCCACCCUCGCAUCAGUGCCUGAUGCCAUCCCCCCCCCUCCCCUUCCACACCGUAGCGGUUCGACGAGGACAUCGUGGUGUCGCGAUUGUCUCAUCUAUCUAGAUUGGGUAUUACAUGUCGUGUUCAAAACAAAGAAGAUACAAACAAUCAUCAGUGGUUCCACCAUCCCUCCGGGACGAUUCCCUUGAACCACUGCCCCGAGCC